rnacentral:rRNA from 1 species
GGACCCGCACAAGCAGCGGAGCAUGUGGUUUAAUUCGAAGCAACGCGAAGAACCUUACCAAGACUUGACAUCGUAUGACCAUCAUAGAGAUAUGACUUUCCCUUCGGGGACAUAUAGACAGGUGGUGCAUGGUUGUCGUCAGCUCGUGUCGUGAGAUGUUGGGUUAAGUCCCGCAACGAGCGCAACCCUUAUCAACAGUUGCCAAUAUUAAGUUAGGAACUCUGUUGAGACUGCCGUGGAUAACACGGAGGAAGGUGGGGAUGACGUCAAAUCAUCAUGCCCCUUACGUCUUGGGCUACACACGUGCUACAAUGGCUAUUACAAAGAGCUGCGAUAUGGUAACAUAGAGCGAAAUCUCAUAAAGGUAGUCUCAGUUCGGAUUGUGGGCUGCAACCCGCCCACAUGAAGUCGGAGUUGCUAGUAAUCCCGAAUCAGAAUGUC